GAUUAAGUUAUUAAGGGCGCACGGUGGAUGCCUUGGCACUAGAAGCCGAUGAAGGACGUUACUAACGACGAUAUGCUUUGGGGAGCUGUAAGUAAGCUUUGAUCCAGAGAUUUCCGAAUGGGGAAACCCAGCAUGAGUUAUGUCAUGUUAUCGAUAUGUGAAUACAUAGCAUAUCAGAAGGCACACCCGGAGAACUGAAACAUCUUAGUACCCGGAGGAAGAGAAAGAAAAUUCGAUUCCCUUAGUAGCGGCGAGCGAAACGGGAAGAGCCCAAACCAACAAGCUUGCUUGUUGGGGUUGUAGGACACUCUAUACGGAGUUACAAAGGACGACAUUAGACGAAUCAUCUGGAAAGAUGAAUCAAAGAAGGUAAUAAUCCUGUAGUCGAAAAUGUUGUCUCUCUUGAGUGGAUCCUGAGUACGACGGAGCACGUGAAAUUCCGUCGGAAUCUGGGAGGACCAUCUCCUAAGGCUAAAUACUCUCUAGUGACCGAUAGUGAACCAGUACCGUGAGGGAAAGGUGAAAAGCACCCCGGAAGGGGAGUGAAAUAGAACCUGAAACCGUGUGCUUACAAGUAGUCAGAGCCCGUUAAUGGGUGAUGGCGUGCCUUUUGUAGAAUGAACCGGCGAGUUACGAUUUGAUGCAAGGUUAAGCAGUAAAUGUGGAGCCGUAGCGAAAGCGAGUCUGAAUAGGGCGUUUAGUAUUUGGUCGUAGACCCGAAACCAGGUGAUCUACCCUUGGUCAGGUUGAAGUUCAGGUAACACUGAAUGGAGGACCGAACCGACUUACGUUGAAAAGUGAGCGGAUGAACUGAGGGUAGCGGAGAAAUUCCAAUCGAACCUGGAGAUAGCUGGUUCUCUCCGAAAUAGCUUUAGGGCUAGCCUCAAGUGAUGAUGAUUGGAGGUAGAGCACUGUUUGGACGAGGGGCCCCUCUCGGGUUACCGAAUUCAGACAAACUCCGAAUGCCAAUUAAUUUAACUUGGGAGUCAGAACAUGGGUGAUAAGGUCCG
rnacentral:rRNA from 1 species